rnacentral:rRNA from 1 species
CCAAUAGCGUAUAUUAAAGUUGUUGCAGUUAAAAGGCUCGUAGUUGAAUUUCGGGAUUGACACAUCGGUCGUGCCUUAAGGGGUGUGAACUGGUGUAGUCCAUUUCUCACCUUCUGGAGAACCGCGAUGUCCUUAAUUGGGUGCCGCGAGGAACCAGGACCUUUACUUUGAAAAAAUUAGAGUGUUUAAAGCAGGCAUUUUUGCUUGAAUACAUUAGCAUGGAAUAAUAAAAUAGGACGGCAUGAUUCUAUUUUUUUGGUUUCUAGGAUCACCGUAAUGAAUAAUAGGGAUAGUUGGGGGCAUUAGUAUUCAAUUGUCAGAGGUGAAAUUCUUGGAUUUAUUGAAGACUAACUACUGCGAAAGCAUUUGCCAAGGAUGUUUUCAUUAAUCAAGAACGAAAGUUAGGGGAUCGAAGACGAUCAGAUACCGUCGUAGUCUUAACCAUAAACUAUGCCGACUAGGAAUCAGACGAUGUUAAUUUUUCAAUGACUCGUUUGGCACCUUACG